CAAAUAUUUCGGAACUGUAUUUUGUCGAAAAGAUUUUUUUCGGAAAAAUAUUUAGUCGGAAAAUAAUUUUUACCUAACGACGAUAACAUGCAAUCACGAAAUGCUUAUGAUGAAAUUACAUUGAACGGUUCCGAAAAAAUAUUUUCCGACUAAUAGAUUUUCCGAAAAAACAUUUUUCAAGAAAAUAUAUCCCUCCGUUUGAGACAUUUGCAGAAUUUUUCCAAAUUUCGAAAAUCUUUGUAACGGUACAGUUCUGCCGUUGCCGAGCAUAACAUAAUUCAUAAUAUACAGCGCACGCCCCGCUGACACGGACGCGACUAAACAGACCGUUCCGAGACUGCGGUUUCCCCACAUACUACACACAGAGAACCACGCUCUAAAGCAUACUAAUCACCACGGUGCCAAUAAGUACGCUACUCCAGUCGACUACGGCAAUUUAUAAAUAUAUAGGGGCUGGAUUUCCGUUAAUUCCAUCAUCUCUACCAUUGACCUGGCACUCUAACCGAUUACGAUAAACCAACGUAGCAGACGGGAUAAGGUGCAGAAUAGCCUGUACUCUCGGCUAUUGAUGUUU